AACGAACGCUGGCGGCAGGCCUAAUACAUGCAAGUCGAGCGCAUCCUUCGGGAUGAGCGGCGGACGGGUGAGUAACGCGUGGGAAUAUGCCCUUCUCUAAGGAAUAGCCUCGGGAAACUGAGAGUAAUACCUUAUACGCCCUUCGGGGAAAGAUUUAUCGGAGAAGGAUUAGCCCGCGUUAGAUUAGGUAGUUGGUGGGGUAAUGGCCUACCAAGCCUACGAUCUAUAGCUGGUUUGAGAGGAUGAUCAGCCACACUGGGACUGAGACACGGCCCAGACUCCUACGGGAGGCAGCAGUAGGGAAUCUUAGACAAUGGGGGAAACCCUGAUCUAGCCAUGCCGCGUGUGUGAUGAAGGCCUUAGGGUCGUAAAGCGCUUUCGCCAGAGAUGAUAAUGACAGUAUCUGGUAAAGAAACCCCGGCUAACUCCGUGCCAGCAGCCGCGGUAAUACGGAGGGGGUUAGCGUUGUUCGGAAUUACUGGGCGUAAAGCGCACGUAGGCGGAUUAGUAAGUUAGAGGUGAAAUCCCAGGGCUCAACCCUGGAACUGCCUUUAAUACCGCUAGUCUUGAGUUCGAGAGAGGUAAGUGGAAUUCCGAGUGUAGAGGUGAAAUUCGUAGAUAUUCGGAGGAACACCAGUGGCGAAGGCGGCUUACUGGCUCGAUACUGACGCUGAGGUGCGAAAGUGUGGGGAGCAAACAGGAUUAGAUACCCUGGUAGUCCACACCGUAAACGAUGAAUGCCAGACGUCAGCAAGUAUACUUGUUGGUGUCACACCUAACGGAUUAAGCAUUCCGCCUGGGGAGUACGGUCGCAAGAUUAAAACUCAAAGGAAUUGACGGGGGCCCGCACAAGCGGUGGAUUUAGUUGCCAUCAGGUUAAGCUGGCACUCUAGAGAAAACUGCCCGUGAUAAGCGGGAGGAAGGUGUGGACGACGUCAAGUCCUCAUGGCCCUUACGGGUUGGGCUACACACGUGCUACAAUGGAGCGUACAGAGGGUUGCUAAGCCGCGAGGUGGAGCCAAUCCCAGAAAACGUUUCGUAGUCCGGAUCGAAGUCUGCAACUCGACUUCGUGAAGUCGGAAUCGCUAGUAAUCGCGAAUCAGCAUGUCGCGGUGAAUACGUUCCCGGGCCUUGUACACACCGCCCGUCACACCAUGGGAGUGGGUUGCAAAAGAAGUGGCUAGUCUAACCUUCGGGAGGACGGUCACCACUUUGUGAUUCAUGACUGGGGUGAAGUCGUAACAAGGUAGCCCUAGGGGAACCU
rnacentral:rRNA from 1 species